rnacentral:rRNA from 1 species
UACUCGAGUGGCUAACGGGUGAGUAACACGUGGGUGAUCUGCCCUGCACUUCGGGAUAAGCCUGGGAAACUGGGUCUAAUACCGGAUAGGAGCCAUUUUUAGUGUGAUGGUUGGAAAGUUUUUUCGGUGUAGGAUGAGCUCGCGGCCUAUCAGCUUGUUGGUGGGGUAAUGGCCUACCAAGGCGGCGACGGGUAGCCGGCCUGAGAGGGUGGACGGCCACAUUGGGACUGAGAUACGGCCCAG